AGGCAAUGGACGUUCACCUAAGUAAUUCUCAUCGAUCAAGAACCUGUUCAAGAUGGAUUGGCAUCUCGUCACGAGUAACAAGAUUGAAAUUUUGCUGACUUCAUAUCUUGUCGAGCUCCAUUUAUCAUCUUCAUUGUUGUAGCUGCUCAAAGAAAACAACUUCUGCAAACAGGUCAAGGAAAAUCUGCUACAGUGGAUGGGCAUUAGCUCUACAGUCUCAACAGGCAAUGAGCAAGUUCGUG
rnacentral:misc_RNA from 1 species